UACGGGGGGGGCAAGCGUUGUUCGGAAUUACUGGGCGUAAAGGGCGCGUAGGCGGUUCGCUAAGUUGGAUGUGAAAACUCUGGGCUUAACCCAGAGCCUGCAUCCAAAACUGGUGAACUGGAGUACUGGAGGGGAAAGCGGAAUUCCUGGUGUAGCGGUGAAAUGCGUAGAUAUCAGGAGGAACACCGGUGGCGAAGGCGGCUUUCUGGACAGUAACUGACGCUGAGGCGCGAAAGCUAGGGGAGCAAACAGG
rnacentral:rRNA from 1 species